AAGCAAUCCAAACAUCUGAAAUGGGAAACUAAAUUCCUGUUAAUCAUCUAUGCUACCUAUCACGAAGGAUUUUCAAAGGCGCUCCUUGUGGUCGGAGAUAAAACCGAAGAAGAUUGCAUCUAAUUUACAAGGAUAUAAACUGGCACGACCUUGCCACUCGCCAAAUCAUAAGGCAGUGUUGGGAUUGUUUCCAGCAAGAAU
rnacentral:misc_RNA from 1 species